CCCUGUGGCUCAGUUGGUAGAGCAUGGUGUUUUCGACGCCAGGGUUGUGGGUUUGAUUCCCACAGGGG
rnacentral:tRNA from 1 species